AUGGAGGACGAGCGGUUCACGGCGGUGCGGACCGACCCGAGGUUCCGACCGAUGCGGCGGAAGGAGGCCAAGGUGGCCCUCGACUCGAGGUUCAUGGCCCCCAUGCUCACGGACCCCAUGUUCGAUUCUCCGGCGGCGCCGGUGGACAAGCGCGGCAGACGCCGCAAGAAGAGCGCCAGGGACAGGGAGAACCCCAUGCUGCGGUACUAUCUCAACCAAGAGGAGGGGGGCGAAAAGGACUAUGAAAAGGCGGAACAGGAGGAGGAGGAGGAUCAUGAGCUUGAAGAAGAGGAUGGGCCAGAGGAAGAAGAGAGUUCCAGUAGCGAUGACGACGAGGAGGACGACGAAGAUGACCAGUACUCUGUGGGCUGUGACAUCGCUCAUUACUUGAUGGCGAGGCAUGAUGAUGCACCUGUGAUUGACAAGGAAACUCACAGGCUUGCUGUUGUGAAUAUGGACUGGGAUCAUAUUAAGGCGGUGGACUUGUAUAUGGUCAUGACAUCCUGUAUCCCGAAAGGUGGGCGAGUUGUAUCAGUUUCGAUAUAUCCAACAGAAUUUGGUCUGAAGUGCAUGAACAUUGAGGCAACUCAAGGCCCUUCUGCUCUUAUUGGCGCUGAUGGUGAUGGUGAUGGUGAUGAUGAUGGGGAAGAUGAUAACAACGAUGAUGACGAAGACGAUGAUGAUGGUGAAGAAGAUAGUGACCUUGACUAUGAGACUGAGAACAACAAGCUCCGUACUUAUGAGCUAAACAAACUCAGGUACUACUAUGCAGUUGUGGAGUGUGAUACCGUUGCAACUGCAGAUCACCUAUACACAACUCUUGAUGGUACCGAGUUCUUGAAAACGGCAAAUGUGUUCCAUUUGCAGUUUAUUGAUGACUCCAGGGAGUUCAAAUAUCCUGCUUGUGAUGUAGCUACAGAGGCACCUCUGAGUUACAAGGCGCCUGAUUUUGAGACGCCUGCUUUGCAGCGUACCAAAGUAAAGUCCACCUGGGAUGAUGAUGAACCAGAGCGUAAGAUCUUGAGGCAAAAGUUCAAACAUGAGCAGUUUGAUGGCUAUGGUAAAUAUAUAGCAAGUGGUGACAGUGCAUCAGAUGAUGAUGUAGAUGAUUCCAGUGACGAGUCUCUGCCAAACGGUGUAGCGAAAAGGAAGUUAACAAAUGAGGAAAGGUUGGCUCGUUUACUACAACAAGGACAUAAAUCUGAUGAGGAACGAACAGAUGACGAGGACAUGGAGAUAACAUUCAACAUGGGGCUCGAGGACCUCAGCAAACGUAUCCUUGAGAGAAAGAGCAUUGAGACGAAGACUGUCUGGGAGAUGCACCAAGAAAAAUUGAAGGAGAAGUGGAAGGCUAGAAAGAGGUGGUCAAAGGAUGACAAUGGCUAUAGUGACCAAGAUAGCGCUGAUGAUUUCCUUGACAGUGAAAAGUCGAACGAAGAAGUUAAGCCCAUGAAGAAACCGAAGGUGAAGGCCAAAGGGAAAGGAAAGGACAGGUCUCGAGAGGAACAUUAUGAGCCAGAAGCAACUAAAGAAGAGUUGGAGCUCUUGGUUGCUGCUGGCCAGGAUGCAGCCAAUGGUGCAAAGGGUUAUAACAUAAAACGCAAGAGUAAAAAGGGCAAGGAUUCUGUCGAGGACAAAGUUGGUGAAAUCGAUGUUAGCAAAGAUGAGAGGUUCUCACCCAUGUCCACGUCUCACCUGUAUGCACUGGAUCCUACUGACCCCCGGUACAAGAGGAGGGCCACCUUGGUGCGAAAACAAGCUGGAAAGAAGGGUGAGCAUGUAGGCACAUUGGAUAGUGAACCACCUGUGGAGCCACAGGAUGAUGCAUCUCCUAACAAGGCCAAUCGGAAACGCGACACCGAGAAUCUGCAGAUGCUAUCUGCUGUCAAUUCUCUCAAGAGAAACCUUGCUGCGUUCAUUCAUUCAGUCUGA
rnacentral:rRNA from 1 species